rnacentral:rRNA from 1 species
UGAGGAACAUGACCUUCGGCGGGGGAGUAGCCGGCCCAACGGCCGGGUAAUACCGCGUACGACCACAUGGGGACAUCCCCGAGUGGUGAAAGCAGCAAUGCGCCGAUGGAGUGCCUCGCGGCCUAUCAGCUAGUUGGUGAGGUAACGGCUCACCAAGGCGACGACGGGUAGCUGGUCUGAGGAGAUCGGCCAGCCCAACUAGUUCGGGACUGAGACCGACCGGCCCAAGACCUCCCGUAGGGACGG